AGUCUGCAUCUUUCAAGAAGACUUUCAUUUUCAUGCAAGACAACGCUCCAUCACAUGCAUCAAAGUUCUCACUGGAUGUCUAG